GUUUCUCCAAACAUGACACUCCAUCUUGUUACACAUCCACAAAAGCACUUCUGCUUAUGAGACAAACCAGGCUAAAGCACUACAAAGUGGCUAAUGGAGAAGAUGCAUUACAUUCUGUCCUUUCUGAAGGGUGUCAUUUUUCAUUCAGGUGCCCCAGCGACGGUCAACAAAAUGACAGACCUGAAUUUAAAACGUCUUCCCUGAAGUCCCUGCCAGAGAAAUGGAAAACCUGCCAACAGGAUGAGUGGAGAUGGCACAGUUUGGAAUAUUCAACACAGUGGUGGACAUCUCUCUCUCCGACACUCCUGGAGGUUAUAGUUGGUCUGGACUGGGGACAUUGCAUCCAUGGUGGAACAGCCGCUGGGCUGUUGGGUGCAGCAUAUAAAAGGCCGUCAUCCUUGGGUUUUUGGUUGAAGCUAUGGUACAGACUUAUUUUUCUCUGUAGCUACCAUAGGGUGAACAGGAGAGAGUCAGAGAGAUCCUGGAGAGGAUACUAGUGUGGAAGAGGUGGACUCCCUCUGGCGUGACAAAGUAGCAAAACAUUUCCAACUCUGGAACUAAAAAAGGUUGUAGCGGAAGGAUGAGAUGAGACCAGCAUGACACUCGGUAGGGAACUAUAAUAAAGAAUCGGCCUCCCCUUGAAUCACUCUAGCUUCGGCCCUAAUAUCCCCAUUCCAGAGCCAGAGGCACACAGCAGGAGUGCAUGUCUAUAGAAUUGUGUGAUUAUGUAGUAUAGGGGAAACUGGGAUUUUUGUAACAGCCGUGAAUAAUAGAUUUUGACUUAGACCUCUCAAGUUUAAAACAAAGUACUGGAGCUACCUAUAUUAUGUCUUAGAGGUACUGUUUUGAGAUACAGAGAUUUCACAGUAGUUAGCCAUUUGUAAAAACAUCUCAACGUCCAGACUGAAUCUACUACUACUACUACUACUACUAGGAAGAAAUUAAUACUUUUUCCAGAAAGAAUGCAUUAAAUUGAUAAAAAAGUGACAGUAAAAAGUAUAAUUUCUAUCAUAAAUGAAUUUCUAUUAAAAAUAAAUAAUGUUCUGUUGAAUGAUUUCUAUUCAUCAAAUAGUCCCUCAAAAAAAAAAAAAAAGAAGAAGAAGAAAAGAUAUUUAAAUUUUUUAUAUUUCACAGAUUAUUAUGAAUUUGAGAUCAAGGUGAACCAGGAACAGUAUUGUGUGAGUUAUUUAUCCUCUGGGCACAAACCUGCAAUCAAUAGUGAUACAACAUACAGUACAUAAUUUUAUUUUAUUUGAUAUUUUAACAGGGACAAUAUACUAUAGGCCAGUGGUCUCCAACCCUGCUCCGUCCUACAGAUUUUAGCUCCAACAAUAGGAGAUCCCUGCUAUGAUGUGUACAUAGGGCAUAUAGCUAGUUUGCAGCCCUCACAACUUUCAGGUAAAUCAUUUAUAUUUAAACAACAAAGCAAAGGACCCAAUAUCAAACCUUGUGGUACACCUAUUUUGCAUUUUUGAAGUGAUGACCUCACACCAUUAAAUUUAACACAUUGCUGUCUACAGUGGUGCAAGCAGGGAAGUAUGAACUUCAAGAAAAGUCUUGAGUUUUUUUGUUUUUGCAGGAACUUAGCGUAGCAGACAAGCAGGCAGAAAGCAGGGGAGUAGUCGGGUAAGUCAUUCUUGACUUAGGCAUAGACAAGACCAGACAAAAGCCCUAUUCGCACGGGAUUAGUAUUAUCUAGGGACCUUGUGUGAUUUUGAAAUUACUCCCCCACAUCUGAAUUUCGUGUGGUGCAUUCGCACGGGAUAAGCAAAGCCUGUGAUUUCACUCGAAUUUACUGACUUAUCUCCCGGUCCCGGAUACCCGGAUGUCAAGGCUUUGAGAUUCCCGUUCUAUGGUCCAGAUGGAUUUAAAAAAAGAGAAAUUAAUAUAGUUUCUUGCGCUGUGUCAUUUACAUUUCACCAGGUUAAAAUAUAUCUCAAGCUUUAUGCUUGAUUUAUUUGUAAUACAUUAACCUCAAAACCUUUUCAGCUCUUUCUGCAAAUUGUAUGGUGUAACGAUAUGACAGCACCCAAAAUACUAUCAAACACUCCAACGCAGCUCCAUUCUUCACGAAAGAUGGAUAAAAAAGGCGCAAAGGAAACAAAAACCUCGAAAAAUGAUAUACGACCCGCCAAAUCACAGAGAUGUUGAUUCGCACUGGUCUAAUAUUAUCACAGGACCUCAGUGUUCGGCGAAAUAUGGUAGGUCUUUUUACUUUACAAAUUACAGACAUGGUUGAUUCACACGGGAUUAAGAGCACAGAUAACCUCCGCAAUUAUUACAAAUGAAUGGCGGUCACUAGGUAAUACUAAUCCCAUGCAAAUAGGGCUAAAGAGUGUGUGUUUGGUGUUGGCUUUUGUAGAGGGUUGCUGAUGAGGGUAAUCAUAGACAGGUGUGUGAUCUUGGAGUGUAAACAGGUGUGAGCCAGGAAGGAUUCUGGGAAAUGUAGUGUGGUGAGGUGACAGGUUUAGUGAAUGUAGAAUAGAUUGUGAUCGUGACAGUAGCAAAGGCUCUAUGCCAAUUUACCAUGACCCAGCUUUUAGUCACUUAACUAUACAAAGAUGUGCUGUUAAAUCAUAAUUAACCAUAGAUCCGAUCUCCUUUAUGGAUUAUGUGGGCGAACAUCAGCUAUGUGGCCACCUAAUUUUCACCUAAUUGAAUAAUACUAAAGAAAUUAUAGUCUUUUCAAGUCUCACCGGCGCAUUUUCCUCACUCUAAUCAUCACCACAGUGGCUUAGAAGUGCAUACAUCAGCUGUCAUGCUGAGUGGGCAUAUAGAAGAGCGUAUUUCUCUGAAUUGAGGAAUUAUAGUGUGGUUACCACAGUAUCAGUUAGAUGACUGACUGAUACCCAGUUGAGCUGAGAAGUGAAGAUGGACCAGCGUGUGCACUGGGCUUUCAAAAACGUGGAGUCUGUGAGGCGUUUCUUGUUCUUGUUCAUGUGAUCUGAGGGGUAAAUGUGCUUGUGUGUGAAAGACACAAAGGACAAAGAGAGCAAGAGCAAAAAAAGUGGAAGAGAAGGAGAAAGUGUUUUUAGGACGGUAUGCCCUAUUUGAACUUCUGUUGACAGUAGUAAACAAACAGGAUCAAAACUAAAAUAAAGCAAACAUCCCAAACCUACCAACAGUUUUGCCAGUUAGUUUUUGUUGUGUAUAUGAUAUAUAUAAACUAAAAAAAAUGCAUUAACAAAAAUAGUAUUGUUUCUAAUGAUCAUUUAAAUGAUAAUAAUAAUAAUAAUAAAAACAUAAAAAAGGAAAAAAAUAGCACCACAAAAGUACUUCUUGUUAUUGUAAUGAGAUUUUGUCACUCUGGAUGCUUGAGCAGUUCGAUUUCAUUAGUAAUUCAGACGAUGUAAUCUAGUACCCCCCCC
ensembl:lncRNA